rnacentral:rRNA from 1 species
UACGUAGGGGGCAAGCGUUGUCCGGAUUCAUUGGGCGUAAAGAGCUCGUAGGCGGUUCGGCAAGUCGGGUGUGAAAACUCCAGGCUCAACCUGGAGACGCCACCCGAUACUGCUGUGACUCGAGUCCGGUAGGGGACCACGGAAUUCCUGGUGUAGCGGUGAAAUGCGCAGAUAUCAGGAGGAACACCGGUGGCGAAGGCGGUGGUCUGGGCCGGAACUGACGCUGAGGAGCGAAAGCGUGGGGAGCGAACAGG